UGCUGCAUGGCUGUCGUCAGCUCGUGUCGUGAGAUGUCCGGUUAAGUCCGGUAACGAGCGCAACCCUCGCUGUGUGUUAUAUGUGUCACACGGGACUGCCGGUAUCAAGCCGGAGGAAGGUGGGGAUGACGUCAAGUCAGCAUGGCCUUUAUGUCUGGGGCUACACACACGCUACAAUGGCCAGUACAAUAGGUUGCAAGACCGCGAGGUGGAGCCAAUCCUUAAAGCUGGUCUCAGUUCGGAUUGCAGGCUGCAACUCGCCUGCAUGAAGUCGGAGUUGCUAGUAACCGCGCGUCAGCCAUAGUCGCGGUUCCGAAUGUUCCGGCCUU
rnacentral:rRNA from 1 species